UACGUAGGAUGCAAGCGUUGUCCGGAUUUACUGGGCGUAAAGCGCGCGCAGGCGGCACUCUAAGUACGUCGUGAAAUAUCCCGGCUCAACCGGGAGGGCGCGAUGUAGACUAGGGAGCUAGAGGUCGGUAGAGGGGGGUGGAAUUGCUGGUGUAGCGGUGAAAUGCGUAGAUAUACGGAGGAACACCUGCGGCGAAGGCGGGUAGCUGGGCCAACACUGACGCUGAGACGCGAAAGCUAGGGGAGCAAACGGG
rnacentral:rRNA from 1 species